rnacentral:rRNA from 1 species
AUACGGGGGGUGCAAGCGUUACUCGGAAUCACUGGGCGUAAAGCGCGCGCAGGCGGUCUUUUAAGUUGGAUGUGAAAGCCUACAGCUCAACUGUAGAACUGCAUCCAAAACUAUUAGACUAGAGUCUGGGAGGGGAAGAUGGAAUUAGUUGUGUAGGGGUAAAAUCCGUAGAGAUAACUAGGAAUACCAAAAGCGAAGGCGAUCUUCCGGAACAGUACUGACGCUGAGGCGCGAAAGCGUGGGGAGCAAACAGGAUUAGAAACCCCGGUAGUCC